AACGAACGCUGGCGGCGUGCUUAACACAUGCAAGUCGAACGGAAAGGCCCUUCGGGGUACUCGAGUGGCGAACGGGUGAGUAACACGUGGGUGAUCUGCCCUGCACUUUGGGAUAAGCCUGGGAAACUGGGUCUAAUACCGAAUAGGACCACGGCCUUCAUGGGUUGUGGUGGAAAGCUUUUGCGGUGUGGGAUGGGCCCGCGGCCUAUCAGCUUGUUGGUGGGGUAAUGGCCUACCAAGGCGACGACGGGUAGCCGGCCUGAGAGGGUGACCGGCCACACUGGGACUGAGAUACGGCCCAGACUCCUACGGGAGGCAGCAGUGGGGAAUAUUGCACAAUGGGCGCAAGCCUGAUGCAGCGACGCCGCGUGAGGGAUGACGGCCUUCGGGUUGUAAACCUCUUUCAGCAGGGACGAAGCGCAAGUGACGGUACCUGUAGAAGAAGGACCGGCCAACUACGUGCCAGCAGCCGCCGUAAGAC
rnacentral:rRNA from 1 species